AAAGGAAGGAAAUUCCAACAUGGGUGAAUCUGGAGGACAUUAUGCUGAGGGAAGCCGGUCAUAGACAAAUACCGCAUGAGUCCAUUUCUAGGAGGCACCAAGAGCAGUCAAAUUUGAGACAAAGUGGAUUGAUCUAAUGGCAAUCCACGAUAUUUUUCACUCGGAUUGUAUCCCAGGAGGAAUGUGAGGAAAAAGUCUUCAGAUAGCCAAGAACAGCUGCUCUGAAUGCCAGUCCUGGAUGGUGUCAGUUGAGACUGUUGUUGACAGACUUGAGAAUCACCCCUGAUGGCUUCUGAGGAAGGGAAUGACUAAGAUUUCAGACUAGAAGCACUUCAUAAAAACACAUUCCUCUGCCUACUCCAUGAUCCAAGAAUCUGUUUUGAAGCCUGUGUUUUCUGUGAUCAGGCUUCAUUAUCCUAGUAAUGACGGGGUGAUGGGGGAACAGUUGAUAAACAAACCCAUGAAUCACCUCCAUCGCCUAAGCCCAGCGCCUGGACCUCCUCCUGACUGGGCGCUCUGCUGAGUUCUGGACCAGGAGCUCUUCACUGGGUUUGUGACUCAUCUCCCAAACUGCACCAUGAAGACUUGCUAAUAAGCAGAGGAUUGGCCAACAGACACGCAGCAGGGGAAAGUAGAGACCCUCAAAGGACUAGCGGGAGCUGGAGGUAGGGAAUGGAUCUGAUUAUGUAUAUUUGAGAACCAGACAUGGGAAUCACAGCAGAACAGCUCCAAUUACCUUAGCUUUUCAGUAUUUCAGAUGGUCCUCCAAAGGCCUUAGUGAAUUUAAUAGUGCCAGCCUGGUACUAUGGGAAAUAAUGACCCUGCCAUUAAGGGGUGGGGACGUGAUUUGGAGUCGCUUCAGGCAGGCUGAGAAAGGCAGUCUGACACCUCCAUGAACGAGGCUGGUCAGUACUAUCUGGUUCAGAUACUGGUUUGAAGCAAUCCUCUUCAAGGUUCUUGCUGAGGAUUCCAGACUCUGUUGGUCUAGAACAGUGGUUCUUUAGUGGGGAUU